rnacentral:rRNA from 1 species
AUUAGAUACCCUGGUAGUCCACACGGUAAACGAUGAAUACUCGCUGUUUGCGAUAUACAGCAAGCGGCCAAGCGAAAGCAUUAAGUAUUCCACCUGGGGAGUACGCCGGCAACGGUGAAACUCAAAGGAAUUGACGGGGGCCCGCACAAGCGGAGGAACAUGUGGUUUAAUUCGAUGAUACGCGAGGAACCUUACCCGGGCUUAAAUUGCAGAUGAAUUACGGUGAAAGCCGUAAGCCGCAAGCUAUCUGUGAAGGUGCUGCAUGGUUGUCGUCAGCUCGUGCCGUGAGGUGUCGGCUUAAGUGCCAUAACGAGCGCAACCCUUGUUGUCAGUUACUAACAGGUUCCGCUGAGGACUCUGACAAGACUGCCAUCGUAAGAUGUGAGGAAGGUGGGGAUGACGUCAAAUCAGCACGGCCCUUACGUCCGGGGCGACACACGUGUUACAAUGGCAGGUACAGCGGGAAGCCACCUGGCGACAGGGAGCGGAACCCGAAAGCCUGUCUCAGUUCGGAUUGGAGUCUGCAACCCGACUCCAUGAAGCUGGAUUCGCUAGUAAUCGCGCAUCAGCCACGGCGCGGUGAAUACGUUCCCGGGCCUUGUACACACCGCCCGUCAAGCCAUGGAAGCCGGGGGUGCCUGAAGUGCGCUGCCGCAAGGGGCGCCCUAGGGUAAAACCGGUGACUGGGGCUAAGUCGUAACAAGGUAAC